rnacentral:rRNA from 1 species
AGAGGGGGCAAGCGUUGUUCGGAAUUACUGGGCGUAAAGGGCGCGUAGGCGGCCUACUAAGUCGAACGUGAAAUCCCUGGGCUCAACCCAGGAACUGCGUCCGAGACUGGAAGGCUCGAAUCCGGGAGAGGGAUGUGGAAUUCCAGGUGUAGCGGUGAAAUGCGUAGAUAUCUGGAGGAACAUCGGUGGCGAAGGCGGCAUCCUGGACCGGUAUUGACGCUGAGGCGCGAAAGCCAGGGGAGCAAACGGGAUUAGAUACCCCGGUAGUCCUGGCCCUAAACGAUGAAUGCUUGGUGUGGCGGGUAUCGAUCCCUGCCGUGCCGAAGCUAACGCAUUAAGCAUUCCGCCUGGGGAGUACGGUCGCAAGGCUG